UAGAGAAAUAUAUAUGGUACAGCCUAUUUGAAAUAGGAUACAACCUACACUAACGGGUUAUUUUAAACUUACUGUACAACACAGAGGGCCUAAAAGCAGCCACCUUUUAAAUAGCGUCAAAGCUUAAUUGGUACUUAAAGCUUAUUCCUCUAUCUUCUUUAAACCCUUUAUCACUACUGAGUAAUUGUAUAAUACUAUAGAAAAUUUUAUGUCAAAACUAGUAUCAAGAAGAAGACCUUCUCUUUAAUGCGCCUAUAAAUCAGAAAGGACACACCACUGAUAAUUAACAUCUCUGAAUACACAGUAGUAACCUAACAAGAAAACUCUACUAAUUACUAUGUUAACCUAACACAAGAGCAUUACAAGAAAGAUUUAUAGAGAAAGAACGAACUCGGCAAAUGUUAACCUCGCCUGUUUACCAAAAACAUCGGCUUUUUGAUCAUAUAAUAGGACCAGACUGCCCAGUGACUCUGAUUAACGGCCCGCGGAUC
rnacentral:rRNA from 1 species